AGAUGACAAACAUGUGGAUUAGGGAGAUCAAAUGAUUUGUCCAGUUCAUAGCUAAAGAGCAACAGACUGGAGUCAAAGCCAGGAAAGCACUAGAAAUCAUCUGACAGUGCAGAUUCAGGAGCAAGAAGGAUGCAACAAUUCUCGACUGUUUGGAGUUCCUCCGUCCAGUGCUCUGUGUUGGACCCUAAGUGCACACCACUGAAUGUGAAACAUUGUUCUGCAACUUGCUUUCUUCUCUUUCCAUAUCUUGGAGGUAUGAAAGAAACCUUAACACCACAUAAAUAGAAAGGUUUUUUUCUUUCAGUAAGGAAAGUGAGAGUGAGGGAAUGUAAUCGAAUGAACCCAACAUUUAUCACAGAGAAUGAC
ensembl:lncRNA